GACUGAGUUCUUCUGGUUACCAAAACACACGCUUCCUCUUUUAGCCGUCCCCAACAUCAGUGGGCCAACAUUCAGUCGUCUCACCGCAAUUUUCAGACUCCUUAGACUCGAACAGUGUUAAAUAUACCACAAGAACAACACAGACAACCUUUCAGAAAAUGCUCAGACUUUUCGAGUAUAUUAUUUAACUAAAUACGAGUCACGUGACGUUCGCGGGCUAGCUAACAGCCGCUACCUACAGGUUGACAAGCUAACACCAGUUUAAAUGUACUUUAAUUACAAUUAAUCGUUUCACACGAUACGUAAGCACUGAGGACGUAAACCGAUUCCGUCGUGCGGGAUCUUGUUACCUGCUGCCUGCUGGACACUGGCUCGCCAAAAUUGGAUAAUGAAAGAUUGGAAAAGGUUUUCAGAUGGAUUGGAGGGGUCAAAAAUAGGUGUACCCAUCUUCUGAUGGCUGCUUCCAGCAGGAUUCGCUGCAUGGAAAUUGCCUCCACAGUCACCAGAACUCAGGCCAGUAGAGCAUCUUUGGAAUGUGGUGAAAUAAAAGGUUUUCACAUCAUGGAUAUGCGGCCAAUAAAUCUGCAACAACUACAUUAAGCUAUCCUGUCACUAUGGAUUAAAAUCUGUAAAUGUUUCCAGGAACUUUUUGAAUCUCAGUCACAAAGACGGCAGCUCUGAAGGCAAAAGGGGCUCUGACUCAGUACUGGCAAGGUGUACUAAUAAAGUAUGUAGUGAGUUUGUAUGCACUAAUCUAAAUAGUCAGCACAAUAUCCUCUGCAGAUUAACAAUAACUCUCACACUAACAAUCAACAAAUGGGGUGAAUUUAGGGAACAUAAGAUUGAAAAGCACAGUAAUAAUAGGUUUGGUUUUCUUGUCCGAUGAUUGAUAGUGGAAUGUUUUUGUUAAGCCACUAGAGUCACUAUAAUGUUCUCAUCAGUGUGACAUGACAUGUUGUAGUGGUUAAGGAUCAAAGAGGAAGUUGACUUUGAAAAGCAGAGGAAAAUGACACAAGCUAGUUUUAAUCAAAUAUAUUACAUAAGUGAUUAUAGUGAACAUGAUGAAACCAGUAAAUUUUCUUAUCAUCAUCUCUAUCUUAGGAACAUGAUAUUAGAUCAUCCAAACCAAGUAAUUAUCACCCGUGCAAUAGAAAAGUAUUCAACAGACUCUAUAUCAGUGGGUCUUCAUAUGUGCCGACACCAGAUCAACAACAAAAGGUUCAUGAACUGGUUGAAUGUUGUCAGAUGAGAUAUUCUAACCCUCUUUUCAGGAUUCAUGCUAACUACAGCCAUAUUGGACCAACGUUACAAUAAAAUAAUAACACUUGCUGGUGUAGUGAAUAACACAUUUGCUAGAAAUCCCCAGGGGGUCACAAGCUAGCUUCUGGGCCAAAAAAGCAGCCAAAAGUACCUUCUCUCAUUUAUCAAAUAAACAAUAUACAGGCAAAAUACAAGCCAAAGGACCAUGUCGAUGUGACCCACUGCAUCUUAAAAGGAACACCAAACAACCUCUAAAACAACAACAAGAAUAUAAUUCAAUUUCUAGUGCAUAUCAGAAAAUCUGUAAGAAGUAGCCUUCUUUUAUUAUUCAUUUCAUUUUAUUUAUUUAUUUUUGAAAUAAUGCAUCAUGCCCAUUCCAACUUCAGUUAUUAGCAUGUUGAUUGGCCAUUUCUCAGGUGGUUUUAUAAGGUAAUGAUCUUUCCCCCAUUCUGGGUUGCAACAGGACACAAAUGAUAACAGUGGGUCUUUCUAAAGUGAGGAUGGAAGCCAUGACAUGACAAAUACCUAGUCACACAUCUAUUGGUAAGAGCGUUGUUUUUACAGUAAAGAAAUGAAAGUUGAGUUCAAAUUCAUAAUGAUAAAAACAUGAUUACAUGAACUAUUAUGACCAAAAAACUCUAUAAACUAAGUAUGAACGGAACUGUACAAAAAAGUACUUAACCUAGUGUAAGCCAAUGAUAAAUAUCUGCUGUUCAAACCACCCAGAUGUUUCCAAAAAAGUUUUUGGCUUAGGUUACACGUUCAGAAUAUGAUAUGAUCAUGUCCUUCUGAGACCCAGUCUAUUCAUUAUGUCCUCUGUAGUGGACAAAAGAGUUAAACCGAAAGAUUUCCUCGGUUCUCAGGAGGACAUGAUAUGACCUUUUCACAUCAAACAGAUGAGGGUAAUUCCAUCUCAGUUCAUCGUGUUUAAUAAAAAAUUUCCCUCCUCACAGCUUGUCAAAAUAUUGAAAAAAAAGGGAAAAAGGUACAUUUAAUAUGAAUUGUAAAACAAAAUAAACAAAAAGAAAUAGGAAAAAAAUGGAAGGUUUCCUGGCUUUAUUAAUGUGGAAUCUUGGGAAUGUAGCUAAAGUUACUGCAGCAUGAUGGAUGGAAGUCCCUAAGAUAUUUGGAUGUUUGGUCUUUGAAGGUAGAUUUGGAUGCCUGUAGAAAUCAUAAUUUAGUAUGUGUGGGAAUAAUAUUUAAUAGACAAUUCAUGUAUGGCAGCCAAAGAUUAUAACAAAUUAUAUCAUUUCUAAAAUUCACAGAUUUUAAGAUAAAAGACCUAAAUUAUAACCAAUGAUUUUUGUUUACUAGGCAAGAAGGCUAGCUCUGAUACUAAGGCUUCAAAUAUUAUUUCUAACAAUAUGUAAAGUAUUUCCAAUAUAUAAUUUUUAAUCAAUAAUAUUUUCAUCAACAGUGCUCGGUAAUUCAGUUUAUUUAUUUUUUAAGGGAAACUAUAGUCGGUAUACAAACAACUUUUUUCCCUUUCAAGAAAUCAUCGACUGAAUGCAAUCGUCAGGUGUCAUCAAAAUUCACUUGACUUCCUUCAAAUAAGUCAUCCUCUUUAAUACAUUUAUAUAUUUUUGUUUUGUGUUGUAAUAGCAGGACAUUAAAAUCUGUCCAAAUCACCCUUAAUUAACCCCAAAUUCUUAUUUAUGGUUUACAUAAAUAUUUAGUUUUAGUGCUGUUUAGGAACGCAGUGAAACUGAAUUUUAAAUAUUCAUAGCUGACAGUGUUUUAUGCAGUAAAACUAAACCACUCUGCCAGCAGAUGAAAUAUUAGUCUAGUGUAAAAGUAUUAUGAAGCUAGUAUUGGAAAUUACUUUAAAACUAUGACUAGGUAACCUUUGUAUUCCUCUUUUCUACUAUAGAGAUGAAUAAUAUAAUCAUGUUUUCUACAAACGGGUCUUGCAGCUCAGUAUGUUUUCCAUUUGUAACUCUGAGCUAUAUCUUUGUCUAUUUUUUUGUACAAAGCCACCAGUGAACUACAGAAUUACACUCUUAGCUUCUAUGAUAUCGUGGGCAUUGAUUAAUUUUGCCAUGAAAUUAAAAAUAAUACAUAAAUGGAGUGAACUGACAUUCAUAGUCUUUUCUAGACUUUCUGACUACCCAGAAUGCUUUAUACUGUAGUAUGAAGUGGCCACAUUUAACCAUGUAGUGAUACAUUCAUUUGAUUAUACCGUACUUUGUUCUACACAUUAUGCACUUUAUUUACCUCACAUCCAGUUAGCCUCACAUGAAUGGACUGUGUAGGAAGACUGGACUACUGGAAAGGAACCUUGUGAAUUCACAGGAAGGUCCCAGCUACUUUGAUGUUCUUAGUUCACAGACUUAUUGUUUUUUAAUCCUUGAACACAGGAUGUCUUCACUUGGAGGAUCUGAAUUUAUUCUGUGAAGAGCAAUUGCUCAGUUGAGUCAUACAAAUGGCCUGUUUUGAUUCUCUGUUCCUUCUGAGCAGAUACUUCAGUUUCAGUCCGGCUGUGAAUGCACAGCUCUCACUUGAGAAAGGAAGUGGUAUUUUUUUCCCUAAGACCAUCAAGUUUAUGCUGAUAAAUCGAGAGUUAAACUCGAUAUCUAUUUCACUUUGACAUCUUGUUAAGUUGCAUUUGUUUUCUUAGUAUCAAGUUUGUGAAUUUGUUUAACAGUCACAGGUGUCGAACUCCAGGCCUCAGUGGCCGGUGUCCUGCAGGUUUUAGAUAUCAGUCAUCACUAACCUGCAUUUUUGGUUUGAGCAGUCAAAAGGGCAAAUGCUUUGACUCUUAUAGCAUUUAUGUUAUAUUAUAAAUAUAGUGAGAAAGAGAAAUAUGCUCAUCAGCUGAACCCAGACAACACUGAUUGUACAACUGAUGAUUGAUUGUAAGACUGUCUGCAGUGACGGUCUUACAAUCAUCAGUUGAUUCACCAUGAGCUUGAUUCACAGGCACCAGCAGUCAUAAUCAUCUUGACACAUAAAAGGAUAAUUAUUAUUAGUAUUAUUUUUACACAACACAACUGCAAAAAAAGCUCUGGAAGUAAGCCAGUCACCUGACCAUCCUUUUCUCUAUUUAAUCAUUUAUUUUUGUUUUUACAUAAACAUCAGUUUCAGGUCUCUAAUAGAUGCAUAUUUUUUUAUUUCAUUUCCUUUAGUCAAGCUUUGUGAUUCAAUGCAUGCCCCUUCCACAGUAAGCAAAGAGUUGGGUGAGUCGAUCAGUUGGAGCGUAUUUUUUGUGCCAGAGCCCCGUGACUUAUUAAUCCCACCAAGCUUCAAAAAACAUAAUUUUGCAUAAUGAGUACUUCUGAUGAUUCCAGUUGAUAUAGCCUAUUAAGAUUUUAUUUAUUGAAUGCAGAACUCAUAAAAUGGGCUUAUAUUAUGAUUUAUUGAUCUCUUUUACUUUGUGAAAACUGAGUUAGCCAUUGGGUAAACUCCAGUGCAGUCCUAUUAUAAAGCUGAAGUGAAGUAAACAGAGAAUCUCUUUGUAGCUGCUGUUGAUGCAUUGUGAUUUCAGAAUGCUCAGAGCAGUAAAGUGUUUAAGUAUAAGUGUGGCAAUUCAUUCUUAAUUUAACAAGCUUGAUUUUAUGGAAAUGGGAAUACCUCUUAGGAGGGAAAUAAGUAAGCCUAUGCCAGUGGGAACAAAGUCAGAAGUACUGUUUGCUAUUCUGUCACACUGAGGAGACUCCUCUUCAGUAGCACGAGAGCUGUGUAAAAAAGGAGAAAACGGAAGUGAUGUUGUUACUGAACUGGCUGAAUGUCUCGGAUAUUCUGAAAAACUUAAGCUUGCUGCGUCAGACAUUUUUCUUUAGGGAAAUUUAAUAUUUACCUCUGAGUCUUUUAUUUGCCCUUAUUAAACAAUAGUUGAAUUGUCCACACAGAAUUUGUCUGAUCAUCUGCAGCAGUUGAUGGGUUAUAAUCACUUAGUACUUAACAAUGAGCUGUAAACUCAAGUGUGGAAAUUCAACCUUGAUUUGAUGAGUCUGAUGGUGCAGUAAGGGAAGCGUCUUGGAGAGCGGGAAUGAGUAGAAUGAUUGAAGAGAAAUAAAGCAGAAGUGCUGUUACCUGUUAUGUCACUCUGAUGUGGUUGCUUCCCAGCAUUGUGUGAAAACAAUUAAAAAGCACAAAUCAUGUUAUUCCUAAUGACCACUGACUGAAUGUUCAGGGUGUUCUGACAAACUUUUUUGAGUGGAAAAUGUAUAUUUAUCAGUACAUUUUAGGGGAUGAUGUAAAUGAGAAGUCAUAGAGGGGCUCAGAAUAAGAGAAUGUCUAUCCAAAAGCAAGCAGCUCUAAGGAACCUCUUCUUUGGUCUAGACUGAAAUUUUGUAAAGACAUUCAUUGUCCUCAAAGAAAUAUGGAUCAAAUAACUAACAGCGGCACUGGCUUGAAUACUGAAGCCAGAGCUAAGGUGACCAGAUGUCCUUCUCUAAGUGUCCCAUAUUUGGAUGACCAUGCACUUUUCUAAAGUCUGGCUUCCACCCAAUGGUUGUGAAGGGAAGGAUUUUUAUUGCAGUAAAAUGAAGGUUAGCCUCUCUAAUGCUAUGCCCAUCGGUGAAAAUUACAAGUCAACAGAAAGUCACAAACUUGGCAGAUUUUGUUGAAUAUGAUGGAAAGCACUGAAAGGAAAAUGAAGCACCAAGAAAUAUACUGAGAAAUGGAGGUUUUGUCAUUUUCUGCUAGAAUUGUUUUUCAGUUUCACACAGAGGGGGGAAAUGUUUGUUUCAUAAUUGGCCAAAUUGUCAGAUAUGGCUCCAUACCUCCUCCAAGGUAUGUCAGUCUGUGCAUGCAUCCUUACUGAAUCCCAGUGACUUUUAUCAUUUGAGACCACAAAAAAAAAAAAAAAACUUCAGUUUUCUUUUAUUCUUAUUGUAUUAACAUAGUAAAAAGAGUAGGAAAUGUCAACACAGUCAAAUAUAAUAUGUAUCUGACUACCUCCCAGCACUGUUAAUGUGUCUGAGUUUGUCCAAGUCAAACACCAUAUUUAGGACAGGCAGAGGCCCCCCCCCCCCCCCCAAGAAACAAACAAACAAAAACAAACUACUACUACUUAUAUUUACAGGUGGCCACAUCAUGGUCUCUGCUGCAAUGUGUGGCCAAACUGUUCACAUAUAUGCUAACAAUUACCACUUGGAGAUUUUCUGUUUUGGCUGCAGUGUUUAUCUCCUUCUGACUCACUACAUCACUGCACUCAAACCACUUCCCCCUUCCAAGUGCUGGAGGAUCCUGAGGAUAUUGUUUCCCAGUAGCAUGUGCAUGUUGUUAAAUAAUUAAAUAAAUAAAUAAAAAGAGAAGUGAUGUCAUUGCUAUUUACCACACGAUUACCGUACACUAUGUUCUGAUGAAUUUAAGCGUCACACUUUUUUCACACAAUUAAACAAGAAGCACUCUGAGAGCACAAAUAUCCGCCAACACAGGUCCCUUUCUGGGCAGUAUUUACUUUUAUAGUAGUAAAUGAAUUAUUGUAUUAUGGACAUGUUCAUUUUGUUUUCUUUGUUCUUUUUACAUAUACUUUAAGGAGUUUGUAGUGCAGUAAAAAGAAGCACACAGUAGAAGCUUUUGUUAUUUGCUCUGUUGAAACCUAUUUUAAUAUACCUGACAUAAUUUUGAGUAUAUUUAUUUGUUAUUUUUGUGGAUAUAGUAAAUGUGUAGCAUUAAUUUUAAUGUUUAGUAAAAUUUGCUUACAUUUUUAGUAAAUAUCAGGUGAAUAAAGUUUUUGAUCACAAAUUCAUUUUGUUUUUUUAAUAUAUCUGUAUAUAUUGGCAAAAAAGUCUUACAAUGUAUUUUGUUUUCAAAUCUUUGACAACUAAAUUAAAUAAAUUAAGCUGACCUUGAAAUUCUCAGUGAAUGUAAGCCAAAUUUGAAUGGAUUGUAGAAACCCCACUCUCCAAAAGUUGAUUCUGUUCAUGUGGACGAAGCGUUUUCAGUGGCAGAAACAUUUCGUCACUCAUCCAAGUGACUUCUUCAGUCUCAGCUGACUGCAGGUUUCCCCAAAUCUUAAAAACAGUACAUUCGCAUAGUGACUGAAACCAGCCCACUGAAGGAACAAUGGGCUGGGUGGUCAGUUCCUUCAUCAUGAUUAUGCAAAUUCUCAUGACCACUGAUCAACAACCACUGACCAAACCACAUUUUCUAUAGUGCCAUUAUCAAUCAUAUUAUUAAAUGGCAAUGGGUGGCUGCAUGUGGUAAUGAGGAUUUCUAUGUGUCUGAUCUCUUAGAUGACAUGUUUGCCUCAUUUGACCAAGGUGAAUUUCUCCCAAGGGAGACAAUAAAGGCUAAUCUAAGAAUCCUCUGAUUGACC